GAUGAACGCUGGCGGCGUGCCUAAUACAUGCAAGUCGAGCGAACAGACGAGGAUCUUGCUCCUCUGACGUUAGCGGCGGACGGGUGAGUAACACGUAGAUAACCUACCUAUAAGACUGGGAUAACUUCGGGAAACUGGAGCUCAUACCGGAUAAUAUAUUGAACCGCAUGGUUCAAUAGUGAAAGACGGUUUUGCUGUCACUUAUAGAUGGAUCCGCGCCGCAUUAGCUAGUUGGUAAGGUAACGGCUUACCAAGGCAACGAUGCGUAGCCGACCUGAGAGGGUGAUCGGCCACACUGGAACUGAGACACGGUCCAGACUCCUACGGGAGGCAGCAGUAGGGAAUCUUCCGCAAUGGGCGAAAGCCUGACGGAGCAACGCCGCGUGAGUGAUGAAGGUCUUCGGAUCGUAAAACUCUGUUAGUAGGGAAGAACAAAUGUGUAAGUAACUAUGCACGUCGUGACGGUACCUAAUCAGAAAGCCACGGCUAACUACGUG
rnacentral:rRNA from 1 species